CCUGGACCCGAAGCGGGAUGAUCUAGCCCUGGGCAGGUUGAAGCGCGGGUAAGACCGCGUGGAGGACCGAACCCACCUGGGUUGAAAACCGGGGGGAUGACCUGGGGCUAGGGGUGAAAGGCCAAUCAAAUUCCGUGAUAGCUGGUUCUCUCCGAAAUGCAUUUAGGUGCAGCGUCGGUUGAUUGCAUCGCGGGGGUAGAGCUACUGGAUGCUUGCGGGCCCGUAUGGGGUACCAAUAGCAGCCAAACUCCGAAUACCGUGGAUGUGUAUUCCGGCAGUGAGUCGGCGGGGGGUAAGCUCCGUCGUCGAGAGGGAGACAGCCCAGACCGUCGUCUAAGGUCCCGAAGCGUGUGCUAAGUGGGAAAGGAUGUGGAGUCGCAUAGACAGCCAGGAGGUUGGCUCAGAAGCAGCCAUCCUUGAAAGAGUGCGUAACAGCUCACUGGUCUAGUGGUUCCGCGCCGACAAUGUAGCGGGGCUCAAGCACACCACCGAAGACGCGGCAGUAUUUUGUACUGGGUAGGAGAGCGUCCCAUGAGGGGCGAAGCGGCCGUGUGAACGCGCCGUGGACUUCAUGGGAGUGAGAAUGCAGACAUGAGUAGCGAGAGACGGGUGAAGAUCCCGUCCGCUGGAUGACCAAGGGUUCCAGGGCCACGUUCAUCGUCCCUGGGUGAGUCGGGUCCUAAGGCGAGGCCGACAGGCGUAGUCGAAUGGAUGAACGGGUGGAUAUUCCCGUACCGGCGGCGUACCGUAAGAGCCGAACGGAUGAGUACUAACCUCCGGUCGCGUGGCGUCGUUCCCUUCGGGGUUCGGGGCGCGUGGCUGUUGGGAGCGUAGUCCUGGUAGGCUAGCGCACAGGGGUGACACGGAAUGGGAGCCGGCCGCGGAGGUGGUUUUCCGUGGUCAAGCACGCAGCCCGUCCCAUAGGCAAAUCCGUGGGACGCAUAGGGUGAGGUGUGAUGAUGGGCGUCCUUUGGACGCGAUAUCCGGUGGUCCAGGCCGUCGAGAAAAGCCUCGGCGCGAGGGGCGUCGCCGCCCGUACCCCAAACCGACACUGGUGGUCAGGUAGAGAAUACCAAGGCGAUCGAGCGAAUCCUGGUCAAGGAACUCGGCAAAUCACUCCCGUGCCUUCGGUAUAAGGGAGACCCCCGGGCGUGAAGAGGCUUGCCCUCGGAGCGUUGGGGGGUGGCACAGACCAGGGGGUAGCGACUGUUUACCAAAAACACAGGUGCAUGCGAAGGCGCAAGCCGCUGUAUAUGCACUGACGCCUGCCCGGUGCCGGAAGGUUAAGAGGAUCCGUCAGCCCCUUUUGGGGUGAAGCGGUGAAUUCAAGCCCCGGUAAACGGCGGUGGUAACUAUAACCAUCCUAAGGUAGCGAAAUUCCUUGUCGGGUAAGUUCCGACCUGCACGAAUGGCGUAACGACUUCCCCACUGUCUCGACCAGGAGCUCGGCGAAAUUGCAGUACGAGUAAAGAUGCUCGUUAAGCGCAGAAGGACGAAAAGACCCCGGGACCUUUACUAUACCUUGGUAUUGGCAUUCGGUGUGGAUUGUGUAGCAUAGGCGGGAGGCCGAGAGGCGCGGUCGCCAGAUCGCGCGGAGCCGUAAGGUGAAAUACCGCUCUGUUCGCAUUGGAUGUCUAACCUCGAACAGUCAUCCUGUUCAGGGACAGUGCCUGGCGGGUAGUUUAACUGGGGCGGUUGCCUCCCAAAGAGUAACGGAGGCGCUCAAAGGUCCGCUCAGCCCGGUUGGCAAUCGGGUUUCGAGUGUAAUCGCACAAGCGGGCUUGACUGCGAGAACGACGGUUCGGGCAGGGACGAAAGUCGGAGAUAGUGAUCCGGUGCCGGCGCACGGGCGCGGCAUCGCUCAACGGAUAAAAGGUACCCCGGGGAUAACAGGCUGAUCAUUCCCAAGAGUCCAUAUCGACGGGAUGGUUUGGCACCUCGAUGUCGGCUCGUCGCAUCCUGGGGCUGGAGCAGGUCCCAAGGGUUCGGCUGUUCGCCGAUUAAAGCGGCACGCGAGCUGGG
rnacentral:rRNA from 1 species